rnacentral:rRNA from 1 species
UACAGAGGGUGCAAGCGUUAAUCGGAAUUACUGGGCGUAAAGCGCGCGUAGGUGGUUUGUUAAGUUGAAUGUGAAAGCCCCGGGCUCAACCUGGGAACUGCAUCCAAAACUGGCAAGCUAGAGUAUGGUAGAGGGUGGUGGAAUUUCCUGUGUAGCGGUGAAAUGCGUAGAUAUAGGAAGGAACACCAGUGGCGAAGGCGACCACCUGGACUGAUACUGACACUGAGGUGCGAAAGCGUGGGGAGCAAACAGG